rnacentral:rRNA from 1 species
UCUGGGGAUACCAUUUGGAAAACAGAUGCUAAUACCGGAUAAAAGCUACUUUCGCAUGAAAGAAGUUUAAAAGGCGGCGUAAAGCUGUCGCUAAAAGGGAUGGACCUGCGAUGCAUUAGCUAGUUGGUAAGGUAACGGGCUUACCAAGGCGAUGAUGCAUAGCCCGAGUUGAGAGACUGAUCGGGCCACAUUGGGGACUGAGACACGGGCCCAAACUCCUACGGGAGGCAGCAGUAGGGAAUCUUCCACAAUGGACGAAAGUCUGAUGGAGCAAACGCCGCGUGAGUGAAGGAGGUUUUCGGAUCGUAAAGCUCUGUUGUUGGUGAAGAAGGAUAGAGGUAGUAACUGGCCCUUUAUUUGACGGUAAUCAACCAGAAAGUCACGGGCUAACUACGUGCCAGCAGCCGCGGUAAAU